rnacentral:rRNA from 1 species
UACGGAGGAUGCGAGCGUUAUCCGGAUUUAUUGGGUUUAAAGGGCGCGUAGGCGGAAUAUCAAGUCAGCGGUAAAAAUGCGGUGCUCAACGCCGUCGAGCCGUUGAAACUGGCGUUCUUGAGUGGGCGAGAAGUAUGCGGAAUGCGUGGUGUAGCGGUGAAAUGCAUAGAUAUCACGCAGAACUCCGAUUGCGAAGGCAGCAUACCGGCGCCCUACUGACGCUGAAGCACGAAAGCGUGGGUAUCGAACAGG